rnacentral:rRNA from 1 species
UGGGGAAUCUUGGACAAUGGGGGCAACCCUGAUCCAGCCAUGCCGCGUGAGUGAUGAAGGCCUUAGGGUCGUAAAGCUCUUUCGCCUGUGAAGAUAAUGACGGUAGCAGGUAAAGAAACCCCGGCUAACUCCGUGCCAGCAGCCGCGGUAAUACGGAGGGGGUUAGCGUUGUUCGGAAUUACUGGGCGUAAAGCGCACGUAGGCGGACCAGAAAGUUGGGGGUGAAAUCCCGGGGGCUCAACCCCGGAACUGCCUCCAAAACUAUUGGUCUAGAGUUCGAGAGAGGUGAGUGGAAUUCCAAGUGUAGAGGUGAAAUUCGUAGAUAUUUGGAGGAACACCAGUGGCGAAGGCGGCUCACUGGCUCGAUACUGACGCUGGAGGUGCGAAAGUGUGGGGAGCAAACAGGAUUAGAUACCCUGGGUAGUCCACACCGUAAAACGAUGAAUGCCAGUCGUCGGGUAGCAUGCUAUUCGGUGACACACCUA